CCCUCCAUACACGCUGGUUGAAGGGUGCUAUGAGAUAUUCACGCGUAACUAAACUAGGAGAAGGUGACACGAGUUGCUGUGUAGAAAACCUAAACCUGCUGCUUUCUGCAGCAGAAUCAAGUGGUUGCACAUUUAAAUCACAGACUGGCUGAAAAUAAAAUUGGUGUCAGUGAAUGAAAACAUUUGACAAAAGUGGGCAAGCAGACGACCAAGGCUAUCUUCAGAUCCCAUUCUUUACACUGUGACAAAAUAAGAAGGAACAUUGUGUUGCUAAGAAGACAAGGACCCAGGACUUGCACACCUGAAGCUGACAGUCAGAAGUCACAUUUUUUCACAACAAUUGGCACUGAGGAAUUCCUGGGCAUCUGCAGUAAGGCAUCACCCUUUGCACUUGCAUGGCAUAGGACGUGGGGGAUACCGAGGGACGUUUUCUUGUGAACAUCUGGG